GAUGAAGAACGUAGCGAAAUGCGAUAAGUAAUGCGAAUUGCAGAAUUCCAGUGAGUCAUCGAAUCUUUGAACGCACAUUGCGCCCUUUGGUAUUCCGAAGGGCAUGCCUGUUCGAGCGUCAUUAUCACCCCUCAAGCCCUCGGCUUGGUGUUGGACGGUUUGGUGGAGGCCCCCUCGGGGGCUCCUGCCCCUCCCAAAGACAAUGACGGCGGCCUCGUUGGACCCCCGGUACACUGAGUUCUUCACGGGACACGUAUCGGACACAUGGGUUUACGGGACACGGUCUGCCUCCCCUCAGGGAGAAUCUUUCUAAGGUUGACCUAGGAUCAGGUAGGGAUACCCGCUGAACUUAAGCAUAUCAAUAAGCGGAGGA
rnacentral:misc_RNA from 1 species